rnacentral:rRNA from 2 species
UAACGACUCUCGGCAACGGAUAUCUCGGCUCUCGCAUCGAUGAAGAACGUAGCGAAAUGCGAUACUUGGUGUGAAUUGCAGAAUCCCGUGAACCAUCGAGUCUUUGAACGCAAGUUGCGCCCCAAGCCUUUAGGCCGAGGGCACGUCUGCCUGGGUGUCACGCAUCGUUGCCCCCUCC